rnacentral:lncRNA from 1 species
ACAUGCUGGACGUCUACGGCUCGCUGCCCGCCUUCCUCAAGCUCUGGAUCGAGCUGCUCAUCAUCCGGCCUUCAUCGCAGUACAUCGUGGCCCUGGUCUUCGCCACCUACCUGCUCAAGCCGCUCUUCCCCACCUGCCCGGUGCCCGAGGAGGCAGCCAAGCUCGUAGCCUGCCACUCCGUGCGCACGGCGGGGCCGACCCCGCCUCUCGCUCCCAGCAUGCCGUGCGACAGCGGCGGCGCGGCGAGCGGAGCCGGGAGGCGGGGAAGCAGUGGCCGUGUGAGCGUGAGGAGCUGCCGCCACCGCCUGUUCCUCGUCGUCCUCCUCCUCGGGGGCCCCGGCGACGUGGGCCGCGCAGGGCCCUGGAAGAGACGUCGCCUCCCCUUCAUCCGCCUCUCUCUCACCGCGCCGCUCCCGCCUCCUCGUCCUGUGCUGCGGGCUCAGGCGGAACCCGAAACGGUCGUCCUCUUCCCCCGCCCGCCGCCGCCUCCUCCUCCUCCUCCUUCUCGGCUUCCUUCUCAGCCCCGGGCCGGAGCGGGGUGUUGGCGGCGGCCGGUUCGGGUGGCGACUCGCGCUUCUCUGGGCGGCGGCGCUUGGCCAUAUCGUGUCGGGGAAGGUAAUGAGCCGCAGAGCCCCGGGGUCUCGGCUGAGCGGCGGCGGCGGCGGCGGCGGCGGCGGCGGCACCAACGGCACCAACUAUUCGCGGAGCUGGAAUGACUGGCAACCCAGAUUGACUUGAUGCACAACAUCACAAAGGCGAUUUUUGAGAACUGAUAGUGCAUCAGCCGACCCAGGUAAUUUAAAAUAUUCUUCAUCCAGAGAUAGAGGUGGUUCUUCCUCUUACGGACUGCAACCUUCAAAUUCAGCUGUGGUGUCUCGGCAAAGGCACGAUGAUACCAGAGUCCACGCUGACAUACAGAAUGACGAAAAGGAGAGAUCAAUGUCUUAUUGUGAUGAGUCUCGACUGUCAAAUCUUCUUCAGAGGAUCACCCGGGAAAACGACCGAGACCGAAGAUUGGCUACUGUAAAGCAGUUGAAAGAAUUUAUUCAGCAACCAGAAAAUAAGCUGGUACUAGUUAAACAAUUGGAUAUCUUGGCUGCUGUACAUGAUGUGCUUAAUGAAAGUAGCAAAUUGCUUCAGGAGUUGAGACAGGAGGGAGCUUGCUGUCUCGGCCUUCUUUGUGCUUCUCUGAGCUAUGAGGCUGAGAAGAUCUUCAAGUGGAUUUUUAGCAAAUUUAGCUCAUCUGCAAAAGAUGAAGUUAAACUCCUCUACUUAUGUGCCACCUACAAAGCACUAGAGACUGUAGGAGAAAAGAAAGCCUUUUCAUCUGUAAUGCAGCUUGUAAUGACCAGCCUGCAGUCAAUUCUUGAAAAUGUGGAUACACCAGAAUUGCUUUGCAAAUGUGUUAAGUGCAUUCUUUUGGUGGCUCGAUGUUACCCUCAUAUUUUCAGCACUAAUUUUAGGGAUACAGUUGGUAUAUUAGUUGGAUGGCAUAGAGAUCAUACUCAGAAACCUUCGCUCACGCAGCAGGUAUCUGGGUGGUUGCAGAGUUUGGAGCCAUUUUGGGUAGCUGAUCUUGCAUUUUCUACGCCUCUACUUGGUCAGUUUCUAGAAGACAUGGAAGCAUAUGCUGAGGACCUCAGCCAUGUGGCCUCUGGGGAAUCAGUGGAUGAAGACGUCCCUCCUCCAUCAGUGUCAUUACCAAAGCUGGCUGCGCUUCUCCGGGUAUUUAGUACUGUGGUGAGGAGCACUGGGGAAAGCCUCAGCCCAAUUCGGGCCCUCCAAUUACUGAGGCAUACGUAACAGAUGUUCUGUACAGAGUAAUGAGAUGUGUGACGGCUGCAAACCAGGUGUUUUUUUCUGAGGCUGUGUUGACAGCUGCUAAUGAGCGUGUUGGUGUUUUGCUCGGCAGCUUGGAUCCUAGCAUGACUAUACAUUGUGACAUGGUCAUUACAUAUGGAUUAGACCAACUGGAGAAUUGCCAGACUUGUGGUACCGAUUAUAUCAUCUCAGUCUUGAAUUUACUCACGCUGAUUGUUGAACAGAUAAAUACGAAACUGCCAUCAUCAUUUGUAGAAAAACUGUUUAUACCAUCAUCUAAACUACUAUUCUUGCGUUAUCAUAAAGAAAAAGAGGUUGUUGCUGUAGCCCGUGCUGUUUAUCAAGCAGUGCUCAGCUUGAAGAAUAUUCCUGUUUUGGAGACUGCCUAUAAGUUAAUAUUGGGAGAAAUGACUUGUGCCCUAAACAACCUCCUGCACAGUCUGCAGCUUCCUGAGUCCUGUUCUGAAAUAAAACAUGAGGCUUUUAAGAAUCAUGUGUUCAAUGUAGACAAUGCAAAAUUUGUAGUUAAAUUUGACCUCAAUUGACUACAAAAUUUGUAGUUAAAUUUGACUACAAUUGGAAAUGCCAAAAACUCACUAAUAGGGGUGAGUCUUUAAUUGUAAUGACUUUGUUUUAUCCACAUUACAUAUUUAUGUAUUUCACUGUUAUGUCAACAUGUCUGCAGAAUCACUGUAUGUAACAAACAGCCAUAUUUAAGACAUGCCUGGAUAAAUAAAAUUGGUAGGAAUGUUUUCUUGCCAUUAUAUUUAA